rnacentral:rRNA from 1 species
UAAGCAUAUCAAUAAGCGGAGGAAAAGAAACUAACAAGGAUUCCCCUAGUAACUGCGAGUGAAGCGGGAAAAGCUCAAAUUUGAAAUCUGGCGGUCUUUGGCCGUCCGAGUUGUAAUCUAGAGAAGUGUUACCCGUGCUGGACUGUGUACAAGUCUCCUGGAAUGGGGCAUCAUAGAGGGUGAGAAUCCCGUCUUUGACACGGACUGCCAGUGCGCCGUGGGUGUGCUCUCGAAGAGUCGAGUUGUUUGGGAAUGCAGCUCAAAAUGGGUGGUAAAUGCCAUCUAAAGCUAAAUAUUGGCGAGAGACCGAUAGCGAACAAGUACCGUGAGGGAAAGAUGAAAAGUACUUUGGAAAGAGAGUUAAACAGUACGUGAAAUUGCUGAAAGGGAAACGCUUGAAGUCAGUCGCGUCGGCAGGGAAUCAGCCUUGCUUUUGCUUGGUGUACUUUCCUGUCCUUGACGGGUCAGCAUCAAUCUUGACCAUCGGAUAAAGUCUGUGGGAAUGUAGCAUCUUUUGGAUGUGUUAUAGCCCAUGGUCGCAUGCGGUGGUUGGGAUUGAGGAACUCAGCACGCCCCUGCGAGGGGGACGGGUUUCGACCACGUUUCCGUGCUUAGGAUGCUGGCAUAAUGGCUUUAAUCGACCCGUCUUGAAACACGGACCAAGGAGUCUAACAUGCCUGCGAGUGUUUGGGUGGAAAAACCCAUGCGCGCAAUGAAAGUGAAAGUUGAGAUCUCUGUCAAAGGAGAGCAUUGACGCCCAGACCAGACCUUCUGUGACGGAUCUGCGGUAGAGCAUGUGUGUUGGGACCCGAAAGAUGGUGAACUAUGCCUGAAUAGGGUGAAGCCAGAGGAAACUCUGGUGGAGGCUCGUAGCGAUUCUGACGUGCAAAUCGAUCGUCAAAUUUGGGUAUAGGGGCGAAAGACUAAUCGAACCAUCUAGUAGCUGG